rnacentral:lncRNA from 1 species
UUCAUAAUAAUUCCUUAUGAUCCAUCUUAUUUCUGAGACAUCUGUUAUAAUGUCUACACUUUCAUUUCUGAUUUUAUAUAUUUGAGUCUUUUUUUCAGUCUAGAUAAAGGUUUGUCAAUUUUGUUUUUUUUUUUCAAAAAACCAACUCUUCAUUUUAUUAAUUUUUUCUAUGGUUUUUCUAUUCUCUAUUUAGUUUUGCUCUAAUCUUUAUUAUUUCCUUCCUUUGGGUUUAGUUUGUUCUUCUUUUUCUAGUUCCUUAAGGCAUAAUGCUAGGCAAUUUAUUUGGGGUCUUUCUUCUGUUUUAAUGGGAGCAAUUAUUGUUAGAAGCUUUCCUCUUAGAACUAUCCUUAGUUUAUCCUUUUGGGUUCCUCUGCAUGCUGGCCUCAAGAGUAUGAAUUCUCUUCCAGGGAUUUUUGGGAUUCACUGCAUCUUUUCCUUCCUACAGGAGCCCAUGGAGGAGAGGCACCAACAGACCCUGCACUUGAUGGACCAGCUGGCACCACCCAGAUCAAUAAACUGGCUUAUUUGAAUUUGCGGCCCCCCACCCAGGAACUGACUCAGUGCAAGAAGACAGCUUCGACUCCCUGUGAUUUCAUCUCUGACCAAUCCGCACUCCUGGCUCACUGGCUUCCCCAACCCAUGAAGUUUUCCUUAAAAACUCUGCUCCCGAAAUGCUCAGGGAGACUGAUUUGAUAACAAUAAAACUCUGGUCUCCCGCACAGCCGGCU